AGAUGGUCCAUCUAUAUUAGCCACAUGAGAGCUUGAGGGUGUCAUAAGGUGUUUCGGGCUAAGCUCCUGCCCCUGUAUGAAAUGUCUCUCUCACCACCUUUUGCUUUGGUGACACUGCUCAAAUGGCCUUCAGAAAUUAGUGUCAAGACUUCAGAACAGUGGUUUUCAACCAGGCCACACCUCAGCCCUGGGCACGUGUAAUAAGGAAGAGGUGCAUGUGCCCCGGCAAGCCCUGUGACUUUAGAGUCACAUACACUUGAACACUGUGGGACAUGGGUGUGUCAGAACACUCAAAGUGCACGUGUUCGGAACCCCCAGCACCACCAGACUAGAAAGCCCAGCAAGACCCCAGAGAAGACUCCUCUAUCCCUUGUCGUUCACUGGGAGAUGUUUGCUUGCCAUGGGCUGGGGAAGUGAGAAGAUGUGGCUACCCUGGACUCUGCAGCCUGAUUUUCACGUCUCUUCUUAGACAGCGAACUUCCCUAUCCUUUGCUCAUUGAGGACACUGCCUUGCUAGCCCAUCAUGACUGCAGGAUGGCAUGAACCACACACACCAUGUCAAGCCAAGGAGUUCCUUCUCAGCUUGGCUUCCAAGACUCUUGCUGUUGGCUCUAUCCCUGGACUUCCAAACACCAUGCCUGAAGCAAUCUAUAAGCCAUUAGCCAAGGCUGCAUUAAAUCUCGACGGGUUCAUCCCUAAGUCCUUAGCUUUUAUCCUGGGUCGAUAUAAUAAACGACUGUCUGAGGGAUGUUUCUGCAUCUUCUGCAAAA